rnacentral:rRNA from 1 species
GCAAAACGCGAAGAACCUUACCCGGGUUUGAACGUAGGGAGACAGGAGUGGAAACAUUCUAUUCAGCAAUGACUGCCUACGAGGUGCCGCAUGGUUGUCGUCAGCUCGUGCCGUGAGGUGUCGGCUUAAGUGCCAUAACGAGCGCAACCCUUAUUUCCAGUUACUAACAGGUGAAGCUGAGGACUCUGGAGAGACUGCCAGCGUAAGCUGUGAGGAAGGUGGGGAUGACGUCAAAUCAGCACGGCCCUUACAUCCGGGGCGACACACGUGUUACAAUGGUAAGGACAAAGGGCAGCUACCGGGCGACCGGAUGCGAAUCUCUAAACCUUAUCUCAGUUCGGAUCGGAGUCUGCAACUCGACUCCGUGAAGCUGGAUUCGCUAGUAAUCGCGCAUCAGCCAUGGCGCGGUGAAUACGUUCCCGGGUCUUGUACACACCG